AGUAAUUUAGUGGCGAACGGGUGCGUAACACGUGGGCAAUCUGCCUUAAAGUGGGGGAUAGCUCGGCGAAAGCCGAAUUAAUACCGCAUGUGAUCAGGGGAGACAUCUUCCCAAAAUCAAAGGUGGCGCAAGCUACCGCUUUUAGAGGAGCCCGUGGCCUAUCAGCUAGUUGGUGAGGUAACGGCUCACCAAGGCUCUGACGGGUAGCUGGUCUGAGAGGACGACCAGUCACACUGGAACUGAGACACGGUCCAGACACCUACGGGUGGCAGCAGUCGAGAAUUUUUCUCAAUGGGGGAAACCCUGAAGGAGCGACGCCGCGUGGAGGAUGAAGGUCUUCGGGUUGUAAACUCCUGUCAUUUGGGAACAAUGCUACCGAGUUAACUGUUCGGUAGUUGAUAGUACCAGAAGAGGAAGAGACGGCUAACUCUGUGCCAGCAGCCGCGGUAAUACAGAGGUCUCAAG
rnacentral:rRNA from 1 species